rnacentral:rRNA from 1 species
GAUGAACGCUAGCGGCAGGCCUAACACAUGCAAGUCGAGGGGUAACUAGAGUGAUAGCAAUAUUACUUUGGCUAGACCGGCGCACGGGUGCGUAACACGUAUGCAACCUACCUUAUACUGGGGAAUAACUUCGAGAAAUCGGCGCUAAUACCCCAUAACAUUGCGAAGAGGCAUCUCUUUGCAAUUAAAGCUCCGGCGGUAUAAGAUGGGCAUGCGUCCAAUUAGCUAGUUGGUGAGGUAACGGCUCACCAAGGCUGCGAUUGGUAGGGGUUCUGAGAGGAUGAUCACCCACACUGGUACUGAGACACGGACCAGACUCCUACGGGAGGCAGCAGUGAGGAAGAUUGCGCAAUGGACGAAAGUCUGACGCAGCCAUGCCGCGUGCAGGAUGACGGCCCUAUGGGUUGUAAACUGCUUUUGUACGGGAAUAAACCCUUCUACGUGUAGGAGGCUGAAGGUACCGUAAGAAUAAGCACCGGCUAACUCCGUGCCAGCCGCCGCAGUAAAAC